rnacentral:misc_RNA from 1 species
CGCACCUUGCACCUCUUGGUAUUCCGAGAGGUACAUCUGUUUGAGUGUCAUGAAUACCUCAACCUCUACCUUUUCUUGCAAAAGGUAUCUGUGUUGGAUGCUGAGCGCUGCUGUCCUCGCACAGCUCGCUUCAAAUAUAUCAGCAAUCUGUCUACUUUCUGGAUUGACUCGACGUGAUAAGAUCUUCGUUGAGGACGCUUUUGUAGCGGCCAGCUGGUUGAAGUUGCUCCUAAACUUGCACUUGUGCAGCACCCUUGAUUUAGACCUCAAAUCAGAUGGGACUACCCGCUGAACUUAA